UACGUAGGGUGCAAGCGUUAAUCGGAAUUACUGGGCGUAAAGCGUGCGCAGGCGGCUUUGCAAGACAGAUGUGAAAUCCCCGGGCUCAACUUGGGAACUGCAUUUGUGACUGCAUGGCUGGAGUGCGGCAGAGGGGGAUGGAAUUCCGCGUGUAGCAGUGAAAUGCGUAGAGUAUGCGGAGGAACACCGAUGGCGAAGGCAAUCCCCUGGGCCUGCACUGACGCUCAUGCACGAAAAGCGUGGGGAGCAAACAGG
rnacentral:rRNA from 1 species